rnacentral:rRNA from 1 species
UGGUCAAGUUAUUAAGGGUGCAGGGCGGAUGCCUUGGCACUAGGAGCCGAUGAAGGACGUGAUAAGCUGCGAUAAGCUUCGGGGAGUUGCACGUAAACUUUGAUCCGAAGAUUUCCGAAUGAGGAAACUCACUUAGAGUAAUGUCUAAGUAUCAUUAAGUGAAUACAUAGCUUAAUGAGGGGAACUCAGGGAACUGAAACAUCUAAGUACCUGAAGGAAGAGAAAGAAAUUCGAUUCCGUAAGUAGCGGCGAGCGAACGCGGAUUAGCCCAAACCAAUAAAGUUUUCUUUAUUGGGGUUGCGGACAUAU